rnacentral:rRNA from 1 species
GAUGAACGCUAGCUACAGGCUUAACACAUGCAAGUCGAGGGGCAUCAUGGUCUAGCAAUAGACUGAUGGCGACCGGCGCACGGGUGAGUAACACGUAUCCAACCUGGCCAUUACUCGGGUAUAGGCUUUCGAAAGAAAGAUUAAUCCCCGAUGGCAUAUCCUCUGGGCAUCCAGGGGCUAUUAAAGAAUUUCGGUAAUGGAUGGGGAUGCGUUCCAUUAGCUUGUUGGGGGGGUAACGGCCCACCAAGGCAUCGAUGGAUAGGGGUUCUGAGAGGAAGGUCCCCCACAUUGGAACUGAGACACGGUCCAAACUCCUACGGGAGGCAGCAGUGAGGAAUAUUGGUCAAUGGGCGUUAGCCUGAACCAGCCAAGUAGCGUGAAGGAUGACUGCCCUAUGGGUUGUAAACUUCUUUUAGAUGGGAAUAAAGUUCGGUACGCGUACCGUUUUGUAUGUACCAUUUGAAUAAGGAUCGGCUAACUCCGUGCCAGCAGCCGCGGUAAUACGGAGGAUCCGAGCGUUAUCCGGAUUUAUUGGGUUUAAAGGGAGCGUAGGCGGAAGCUUAAGUCAGUUGUGAAAGUUUGGGGCUCAACCUUGAAAUUGCAAUUGAAACUGGGUUUCUUGAGUUCGGUAUAGGUGGGCGGAAUUCGUGGUGUAGCGGUGAAAUGCUUAGAUAUCACGAAGAACUCCGAUUGCGAAGGCAGCUCACUGGAGCGUUACUGUCGCUGAUGCUCGAAAGUGUGGGUAUCAAACAGGAUUAGAUACCCUGGUAGUCCACACAGUAAACGAUGAAUACUCGCUGUUUGCGAUACAAUGCAAGCGGCCAAGCGAAAGCAUUAAGUAUUCCACCUGGGGAGUACGCCGGCAACGGUGAAACUCAAAGGAAUUGACGG